rnacentral:rRNA from 1 species
CCUACGGGAGGCAGCAGUGGGGGAUAUUGCACAAUGGGGGAAACCCUGAUGCAGCGACGCCGCGUGUGGGAAGACGGUCCUCUGGAUUGUAAACCACUGUCCCCAGGGACGAAGAUGACGGUAUCCGGGGAGGAAGCUCCGGCUAACUACGGGCCAGCAGCACCGGUAAAACGUAGGGAGAGAGCGUUGUCCGGAAUUACGGGGGGUAAAGGGAGCGUAGGGGGGACGGCAAGUUGGGGGUCAAAUCUACCGGCUCAACCGGUAGCCGCACUCAAAACUGCAGGUCUUGAGUGAAGUAGAGGCAGGCGGAAUUCCUAGUGUAGCGGUGAAAGGCGUAGAUAUUAGGAGGAACACCAGUGGCGAAGGCGGCCUGCUGGGCUUUUACUGACGCUGAGGCUCGAAAGUGUGGGGAGCAAACAGGAUUAGAUACCCCUGUAGUC